AACUAACAAGGAUUCCCCUAGUAACUGCGAGUGAAGCGGGAAAAGCUCAAAUUUAAAAUCUGGCAGUCUUUGGCUGUCCGAGUUGUAAUCUAGAGAAGUAUUAUCCGCGCUGGACCGUGUACAAGUCUCCUGGAAUGGAGCGUCAUAGAGGGUGAGAAUCCCGUCUUUGACACGGACUGCCAGGGCUUUGUGAUGUGCUCUCGAAGAGUCGAGUUGUUUGGGAAUGCAGCUCAAAAUGGGUGGUAAAUUCCAUCUAAAGCUAAAUAUUGGCGAGAGACCGAUAGCGAACAAGUACCGUGAGGGAAAGAUGAAAAGAACUUUGGAAAGAGAGUUAAACAGUACGUGAAAUUGCUGAAAGGGAAACGCUUGAAGUCAGUCGCGUUGGCCAGGGAUCAACCUUGCUUUUUUGCUUGGCUUACUUUCUGGUCGAUGGGUCAGCAUCAAUUUUGACUGGUAGAAAAAGUUCAAGGGAAUGUGGCAUCUUCGGAUGUGUUAUAGCCCUUGUUCACAUAUAUCAGUUGGAAUUGAGGAACUCAGCACGCCGCAAGGCCGGGUUUUUAACCACGUACGUGCUUAGGAUGCUGGCAUAAUGGCUUUAAUCGACCCGUCUUGAAACACGGACCAAGGAGUCUAACAUGCCUGCGAGUGUUUGGGUGAAAAACCCGAGCGCAUAAUGAAAGUGAAAGUUGAGAUCCCUGUCAUGGGGAGCAUUGACGCCCGGAUCUGACCUUUUGUGACGAUUCUGCGGUAGAGCAUGUAUGUUGGGACCCGAAAGAUGGUGAACUAUGCCUGAAUAGGGUGAAGCCAGAGGAAACUCUGGUGGAGGCUCGUAGCGAUUCUGACGUGCAAAUCGAUCGUCAAAUUUGGGUAUAGGGGCGAAAGACUAAUCGAACCAUCUAGUAGCUGGUC
rnacentral:rRNA from 2 species